rnacentral:rRNA from 1 species
GAACGCUGGCGGCAUGCCUAACACAUGCAAGUCGAGCGGAUGAGUGGAGCUUGCUCCAUGAUUCAGCGGCGGACGGGUGAGUAAUGCCUAGGAAUCUGCCUGGUAGUGGGGGACAACGUUUCGAAAGGAACGCUAAUACCGCAUACGUCCUACGGGAGAAAGCAGGGGGACCUUCGGGCCUUGCGCUAUCAGAUGAGCCUAGGUCGGAUUAGCUAGUAGGUGAGGUAAUGGCUCACCUAGGCGAUGAUCCGUAACUGGUCUGAGAGGACGACCAGCCACACUGGGACUGAGACACGGCCCAGACUCCUACGGGAGGCAGCAGUGAGGAAUAUUGGACAAUGGGCGCAAGCCUGAUCCAGCCAUGCCGCGUGCAGGAAGAAGCAUCUAUGGUGUGUAAACUGCUUUUGUACGGGAAGAAACACUCCUACGUGUAGGAGCUUGACGGUACCGUAAGAAUAAGGAUCGGCUAACUCCGUG